AUCUUGAGGCUUGACAAAUUUAAAAAUAAUUUUAAUUGCAUUAUUCUAAGCUUCCGUAAGAAUUAUCUCUCUUUAAAUUGAUGUUUCAAAACAUGAUAUAAAUCAGAAUGCGGCCGACUGUCGUCGAGGUUACAUCGCCGGUGGUGCUUAUACAUUUCUUAUCGUAAUGUUGGAAGGUGUCAAACAUGUUUUAUUAGUGCUUUCUGGUAAAGGUGGUGUUGGGAAAUCAACAGUUAGCACACAAUUGGCCCUUGCACUCAAGGAGUCAGGAUUUCGAGUAGGUUUACUAGAUGUUGAUCUAUGCGGACCCAGCGUACCUUACCUGUUAAACUUGGAGGGCAGAGAUGUUCAUCAGUCUUCUGAUGGAUGGAUCCCAGUGUUUGCAGACAAAGAACAAAAGCUGGCUGUCAUGUCGAUAGGAUUUUUAUUAAAAAAUCAAAAUGAUAGCGUCGUUUGGAGAGGUCCAAAAAAAACUGGAAUGAUUAAACAAUUUUUAAACGAUGUUGUUUGGCAAGAUAUCGAUUAUUUGAUCAUUGACACACCACCAGGAACAUCAGAUGAGCAUAUCACAGUAAUGGAAAACUUGAGGAAUGUUAAAUGUGAUGGUGCACUUAUAGUAACUACCCCGCAAGCAGUUGCAGUGGAUGAUGUCUUGAGGGAAAUAACAUUUUGUAGAAAAACUGGCAUUCACAUAUUUGGUAUAGUCGAAAAUAUGAGUGGUUUUGUCUGUCCAUCUUGUUCGGAAUGUACAAAUAUAUUUUCGGCGGGUGGAGGAAUAGCUCUUUCGAAAAUGGUAAAUGUACCAUUUCUAGCAAAAGUGCCCAUUGAUCCUCAAGUUGGUAAACUAGCAGAAACAGGUCAGAGUGUUCUGGUGACAUUACCGGAUAGUCAAGUAGCGCAGGUGUUUCGGAAACUAGUCGAAGAACUUACCAAGAGCAAAGAAGCAUAGGAGUGAACGUUUGAAUUAUACAACUCUAGAACUUCUUCUGAAAUACAAUACUUGCUCAUAAUUUUACAGUUCACUUUGGUCCUUUGAGAGCAGUAAUGUAAUGCAUUUUUUUAUUGUGUUAUGCGUUGCAGCUAAUUUAUCUUGUGCUUCGGUAAUACCUCUACCGACUACAGUUAAAUCGGCCCCAGAAUUUAUAACCGAUUCUGGAGUAUUGUAUUGCUGUCCUAAAUUAUCGGAACUUUUCGACAACUUUACUCCAGGUGUCAAUUGAACAAGUCCUAUAGUCGAGAAAAUAUUUGAUUGACAAACGACACCGGUUACCAUGUCUGAACUUUGCGCGAUGGAUACCGCGUUUUGUGCGUAUUCACCGCUCGUCAAAGCACCCUUGGAAGACAUUUCUGCUAAUAUAAAAAUACCACGUGGUUCAGUUACAUGUUUCAAACCCUGUUUUAAACCGUCGAUGAUACUUUGACCAGCAACGGCAUGUACUGUAACAAUAUCUGCCCAUUCUACUAUUCUAUAAAUGCCUUUCUCAUAUUGCAAGGAUACUGUGUUACCGAUAUCGGCAAACUUUCUAUCCUCCAUCACUAAGAAAUCGUGUUUUUUAGCUAAUUCCUUCAAGCGCUUUAUAAAAUCGUUAUUAAAAUCUUCUAUUAUA